UUCAAGAAAAACACACGCAUUCUUUAAUAUGGGAAAAUAUAUUCGAAUGAUAAGUAUAGUGUUCUACAGGAAAGACGUAUAUAGUCCCCGUUAAAGUUUAUUAUAGGUAAUCUGUGAUUCAGGUCUUCAUCAUGUCGUCUAAAGGCAUGGGUUAUGAAGUGAGACGAGAGACAUACGAAGUUCAUGGAAGCCCUGUCUACACCACGUCUACUGCUGGUUAUGGAAAUCCGGCUUACACUCAAGAAUACUUGACCACAAGUAACAGUCAGUCACGACGUGGGAGUAGUGGUCAUGUAAUUUAUUCAGGAAGUCGUCAUGGUAGUCUUGAUAAUUCCAAAGCUCACCACAAACAGUAUACCGGUACUCAAUCGGCCGGAGUUGGCUAUUCUUCUUAUAGUCCCGAUGGCGUUGUUGUUGUCAACCCACAAGGAAAUCAUAUGAUGGUAGCCAAUAGACCUAAUGAUUAUUUUGGUUUGGCCUUAUUUUCCUGUUUAUGCUGUUUCUGUCCCACGGGCUUAGCUGCUCUAUAUUACUCUAUACAAUCCCGAAAGGCCACAGACAGAAUGGAUUUUGGAAAAGGUCACAAGAAAGGAAAAACGGCGAAGAUUUUAUCAAUGAUUGGAAUAGUAAUAGGAAUAAUAAUUGUGGUCAUAAUAAUAAUAUUGGUGAUUAUAAUGCUUGUUAGAGCAAGUAAUGCUAAUGUUGUUUUGCUUGGUUAAUAACAUAGUUUAAUCCAUAAUAAUAAACAUUUCGUUAUCAAUAAUAUGACCUGUUUCAUUAUAUAAAGUCAUUUGCUUAGUUAUUUCCAAGAAACAUUAAUAUAGCUAAACAAGGUGCAUGUCAGAAGUAAGCCAUUUUAUUCUUAUAAUAUCCAAGAUUGGUGUUAAUUAAAGGAGGAGCCCCCUAGAUUUUACAGGAUACCCGAUGAAUGCGAGCCGUUCGGGAGACGGAAGUGGUGGAUAGAUUUGCUCAAUGGAUUUAUGUAACACAUUGUUGUAUGAGCGGUGAGCUAUUCACGACGAUCAACUGCCAAUAUAAAUCAAAAAAGUAUGACUAUUCUGGUACUUCGCGGUGGCGUGGAAUUUGGCUAUUUAUCGCCAUCUACAUAGAUACAGAAAGUUUAUGUACUCCGGGGAUUCAUAAUAAAGAUCUCUGAGAGUCUAACAGUAACACACAGGAUUAACCUGUUUGAUCCAGUAAAAUAUAUCCGGGACGCCUCCUCUAAUCUAUCUUCAUCUAUACAUGUAUGUACAUAAUAUAGGUAUUAAAAAUAAUAGUUCGCUGGUAAAUAAGACAAUAAACCAUAACACAUACUUAUGGAAGAACAAUUAUUGAUUUAUUUAGGCGAUGUUUCGAAGAGUAUUCUCUCACCGUUAUAACUUGCUUUAAAACGGUAAGACUAUAUCUUCGAAACGUCGCCUAAAGAAAUCAGUAAUUGUUCUACCAUAAGUAUAUGAUAUAGUUUAAUGCUCUAUCCAGUAACUAAAUGCCUUUAAAAGAUCAGUAAAUAAAACCUCAUAAUUUUCUAUGUACCCAAUAUUUCUCAUUUCUUUAUUUGUUAUAAUGCGUAUAAAUUAAAAGAUACGACUCACUUUAGUUGGUAGUUUAAUUUAAUAAAGAAUUUUUGUACAUUAAA